rnacentral:lncRNA from 1 species
UUUUAAAGAUAUAUUAAAAUUUAAAAAUAAUAUAAAAAUAAAAAUUUGGACCGGACCGGGUCGGGUCUGGUUCGACCCAACCCGGUUCGGCCCGAGUUCGGUCCGAUUGGGAGGUUGGGCCCGAAGCGUGGGCCCAGCCCAAAAAGUCACAUUCUCUUCUAAAACAAACAGGCCCAUAAGCCCACAAGGUCACCCCCUCUUUUAAAAUAAAUAGGCCCACAAGCCCAAAAGGUCACCCCCUCUUUUAAAAUAAAUAGGCCCACAAGCCCAAAAG